GACGAACGCUGGCGGCGUGCUUAACACAUGCAAGUCGAACGGAAAGGCCCUGCUUUUGUGGGGUGCUCGAGUGGCGAACGGGUGAGUAACACGUGAGUAACCUGCCCUUGACUUUGGGAUAACUUCAGGAAACUGGGGCUAAUACCGGAUAGGAGCUCCUGCUGCAUGGUGGGGGUUGGAAAGUUUCGGCGGUUGGGGAUGGACUCGCGGCUUAUCAGUUUGUUGGAGGGGUAGUGGCUUACCAAGGCUUUGACGGGUAGCCGGCCUGAGAGGGUGACCGGCCACAUUGGGACUGAGAUACGGCCCAGACUCCUACGGGAGGCAGCAGUGGGGAAUAUUGCACAAUGGGCGGAAGCCUGAUGCAGCAACGCCGCGUGCGGGAUGACGGCCUUCGGGUUGUAAACCGCUUUCGCCUGUGACGAAGCGUGAGUGACGGUAAUGGGUAAAGAAGCACCGGCUAACUACGUG
rnacentral:rRNA from 1 species